UGCAAAGUAUUAAAUAAAAAAAAAAAGAAGAAACUUAUAAUUCUCAAUGAGAAUUGAUUGUAAAAUACUUCCAAAUAAAAAAAAGAAAUUUUUCAUUGGCAAUACCAGACGAAUCAGCAAGUUUUUUAUAUUUUAUAUAUUUUUUAUAAUAUACACGAUGCCUAAAAUACGCAGAAAGAACGUAUUCGAUAGAGAUAGUAGCGAUGACGAGUAUUAUUUUGGACCUGACAAGAUAGUAGACGACGAUAGUGCUUCAGGCAGUGGAAACAAACUCCUUUCAACAAGAAAUCGGAUCGCGACCUUAAGAUAUCCACAGUUAACCUUUCGGGUGCCGCUUAUAGGCGGCGCUAGCUAGAUGACCUGUGAGUACGAGUGCCGCUUAUAGGCGGCGACCACGCGACGAUCGGCCCCCCCAUAUAUAUGGCAUACACCAGUGCCAUCUGUAGUCAAUAAUGUAUAUGUAAUAUAUAACCUGUAAUUUUGUAAGCCUUUUCAUAUUAAAGAUAUAAAUUAUACUUAUCAUAUUGAAGCAAAGAUUGUUUUAUUAUUGUUUUAUUCAGCACAGUUGUUAUUUAAGACUUAAGAAAACAUUUAUACAGCAAUCACGCCACUGUGCGCAUUUGUGACGCGCGCCUCCGUACAGGAAGAGCACUUAGGCGGAGUGGACUGUCGAAGCGAAGGGGUUAAAGAAGAAAUAUCAAAAUUCAGUAACAGAUAUAAUAUAAGAGUUAACAACCACCAAAAACCAUUAGUUACUCAAUUACUUGACACGACGGAUCAGAUCCGCAGACUAAAAGGACAAUACCCUUUAGAUCGAAGCAUUAGAUUCAACUAGAAUCAAACAUACUAUAAACUCUUAUAAUCCAAGUUACAGUACCACGCCAAAAUACUUAUAAUUCUCAAUGAGAAUUGAUUGUAAAAAGUUUAGCAAAUAAAAAGAGAAAAAAAAACAAGGAAUCGGCUCAAACGUUUCGAUAUUUCUAGUAAUAGUGACAAUGAUGAUGAACCAAAUAUUGAUGAAAAUGAUACAAGCCUCGACAAUGAAUAACGCAAACAUUCAACGUUUACAACGUAUAUUUUCUCAACUGUACGCGCCAAUAGUGGACUCUCGCGUCCACAGCGACGCUCGUUCGUCUGUAAAGGGUAGGAACACCGUCGUUAUCUAGGAUAUUCAAUUCCACUACAAAAAGUACAAGAUAAUCGAAGAAAAGGAGUUGUAAAUUGAAGAAGGACGAGACGGAGAAUGGAAAAGGAGAGUUUGAAGAUGGCGAUAAAAGGCGUAAAGGGGAUAAACGGAAAUGGAGAGGCAUGAUAGUACGGAAUACGACCGGGUCGAUUCCAACGAAUAACGCAAGAAGCGAAGGAUAAUACGAAUACAAGGCGCCGGAAAAUUCCUGCGACUAAUUAAUAACUAUCUUAUCGUGGAUCGUGUUACAUCGAUUUAAUACGCAAAUACGAUUUACCUACCGCCGGUUAAUCGAGAUCGAUUCUAAAUAGUCCUUCUUUUAACAUUCUUCAAAAGUUUGUAUUCUUCAUGCAUUGGCAUACGACAUAAAAGAAAGAAAAAGUAUUUAUGUUUCGAUGAAUCUUGCGAUCUUCUGUCGAUCGAGUUAUGCGUAAUAACUUUUCUUCCGAUUUUUGUCUUUGGUAAUUUUUGAGCAUUUUUUUACCUUACGUUUGUAAAUAUUGCUUCUGAUGUAUUUACCAUAAUUUCAUUACAGCUUAGUGUUAAUUUUGCACAACUGUAAAACGAUAUCAUAAAAAUGCUGUUGAAUUUAGUCGAAAUAAAUUCACUUGAACAAUAAAGUGCGGGAUUUCCAACCGCAGAACAGGCGAUCAAUCGUCUCGGUGGAAUUAAGAAGAAUACAUAGAUUCGACAACAAGCUGCACAAUAAACGAUCUAAUUAUCUACUCGUCGAUCCUCGAUGACCGCUUCCCUUCGAGAGCAAGUCAUUCACACCGACCUUCCAGAGGCGCUCCAGCACGAUUCGCGAGAUUAUUGAACCUGAAUCGGCGAAGAAAACGAGAUUACGGACAUCGUAGCCUUGACCAAACGCGUAAAUCUUCUAUUUGGAUAUUUUCAUUCUUAAUCUAUCGACCCACCAAGGAUCAAUGAACUGCUAUCAUAUUACGUAAAUAAUUUAAUUUGAAACUUUUACUCUUCUUGGAACAUCGAUGGAAAGAAAUUCCCUUCCACAUCGACAAGGUGAUAGUAUCAUAAAGCUAUCGUCAAAUAGAUCUAUUUAACCAAUUUAGAAGUUUCUCUAAUAAAAGUGUUCUACUUUUGGAGUAUUGUUUAUUUCUCAAAUGAAUCGCAGUGAAAAUAAACUACAAGAAAGAAUGAAUGAAUUCUCCAUGAUGAUGUAAGCAUUGAAAGCGACUUCUUUUUGAGAUUGGAAAAUUCAUAGCAAACUAUAGGAAGAUCUAUGGUUCAUAAUACUAGGUUGCUGCAUAAAUUCUACUUCAUAUAUGUAAGCUUUACUUAUAAUUCUCAAUGAGAAUUGAUUGUAAAAAGUCUACCAAAUGAAAUAAAAUAAAAUAAAAUAAAAUAAAAAAAUGUAAACUAUCGAUGUUACGAUAAAUGUAAUAUUCCUGUGUAUGUCGAUUAAUCUGCAAAAUCCAAAGAUUUAGAAAUUAACAUCCGAUUAACAGCUGGGUAUAGAGGCCAAGUAUCAAUUCAUUUCUCACGUCGUUAUUUAUCAUUUGUUCAAAGAAACAUUACAAAUGAUCUUUUCUCUUCUCCGUCUCGAUCGUCUCGGGGAAAAUAUAAAAUAAUUGUCAAUGAUAUACGUGAUUAAUCGUUUUAGUCGCGAGUUAAACAUAGCCUUAAAAGUUGUAAGAUCCUUUCGUUUAUCGAGAUAAGAGCUAGAACGAAACAUAACAAUUCGAGCAUCUCAGCAGGAUCAAAUUACGAUUAAAGGAAACUGGUUGGCAAUCUCGAAACACCGUUUGAGAACCACGGAUCGCACUGAGAGGAACUGAUUAAGAGGUAUUAUUUUGCAUCGCUAUCGAGCAACUAUGCACGCUUAAGGGUCAGAGCAGGCCAUCUUAAGCCGCAGAUAAAUGGAAAAAAUAAGGCGAGCAUACGCGAAGGGAGCGAAAGGUCGGAUUACUCGAGUCCGUUCGAAGAAUCCGUUUCGAAACCAGACGUUUCGUGUUUUGAUGAUCGAACAUCGCACAACGAUGGAAGAAAGUUGAACCGAUACGUAGAUAGAGACACAUUUUCAGAUUAAUUACCGGAAGAAAAUAUACAAUUCAAAGCCUGUAAAUCAACAAUUUCGUAGAACUAAUUUUUUCUCUUAUCCAUAAAUUAUUUCUUAUUCUUUAUUUUAUCUACAAUUUCUAAAUAUAAACUUUUUAUAUAGAUUUAUAAUAAAUUUGGACAAAGACUCAUUUCUUAUAUAUGGCCUGUUCUUCCAUUUUCUUUUAUUUUUUUUCUUUUUUGCAGGUUUUCUAUAAUAAAAAGAAAAUCAGAACUAGCUUCAGUUACAGACAGAUAUAUACUUUUCGUACUGUACUAAUAAUAAUAUUAUAGUAUAAUAUAUAGUAAUAUCGAAGCCAAGGUCCUUUCGAUAUUCCUAUGAAUAAAUCAAUAGACGUUAAGAAUAACAUAAAUGUUGCACAACAGAGAAUAUAAUAUGAAUAGGGGUUAUUAAUGUUAUCUGUCUCCAACAUGACAUUUCAACGACACGCUCAUUUCAGAUAUUUUUUGAAUCUUCUUUUACAGCAAAAAGUAAUGACGACGUAAAAGCAAUGGAAAUGCGAAUGAAUUUUUCAAGAAGAAAAAGAAAGCGGAUUAUGUAAUUGACUGUCCGUUGCAGUAAUAUAUUUUAUUAUUGCAGCAUUUAUCUAUUCAAUUUGAUGGUUCAUUCGAUACUACUUUCUUUGCUAAUUGGAAAAGAAUUCACUUUGAUCUUCGUCAGUCAGAUUAUAUUUCCAAUAAAUUGCCAAUAGAAUAUCUUGUUAAAAUGAUGAUUAAGCGCCUAACAAGAAAUUUAUAAAUACUUCAAGCACAAUAUUCUACUACAAUUUUAUAUGCAUAAUUUACCAUCUUCUUAUUAAAAAAAUUCACAAUUUAUACACAUCUACUGUACUUUAAGGAAUAUUACUCUCAGAAAUACAACUUAGAUACUAUAAAGUAUUUACAGGGACGAAGAAUCAUUGAAAUAAUAUUUAUUAAACGAUUUAGACGCAAACGAGUCACGUAUAUCCACAUGAGAGUGAAAUCAAAAUGUAAAUAUUGUAAGAAGCCAAACAUCGAAUUGAGAGUUAACCUUUCGCGAUCUUGUUAAUUAAUCGUGUUCGAUUAAUUCCGAUAUCGUUCGUUUUUCCCCGAGAGAACGAGAUAUCAAUUACUUGUGAUACUGUACAUAAAUACAUACCAUUUAAAUUUGAAAUAACGUGACACCAUAAGUUUAUUUAAGAAUUACAAAAUCACAUGUUAUAAAAUUUCUCCCUUUUUUUUUUUUUUUUUUUAGUACAAUAGAAGUAAGAAAUUGUGAAAGAAAUGCUUCGCAACUGUACUUCCUGUUCGGCCGCAAGAAAUAAUAAUAAAAAGCGUCAUUGAUCGUGAACCACAAGCAUCGUUACAGAUAAAGACCUCUUGUUAGAUUACUUUGAUCUGGAUAACGCGUGGAACUUCAGAAAGAAAUUAUCAACGCUAACGUAAGAGUGGAAAGAGACAGGAGUAAUAUCGCAAUGGAAAUCACUCGGUGCACACUUCGUCGAAUUUCGAUCGGUAAACAUUCAAACAUGCAAACGCACAAAAAUAAUGGCCUUAUAUCGAAGAAGAAUGGUCGAUCGUGAUAAGCGUACAAAGUACGGAUAGUCGACGAUUCGAUACAAACACCAACGGACAAACCGUUUAAGUCAACAUUAACAUAUAUGUAAUAUUAUGGUGGAAGAACAAUCAAACUCGACAGUGAUACACAACUAUACCAAUCUGUUCUCUUUAUCGACAGUACCAAAGUUUAAAUACACCACUCGAUGUAUACCGGUUAAUUUAAAAAAUAGUCCUUUCUCCGUGAUACGAUUUAUUAUAAUUGCUAAUUUAGUAUAGGUGAUGUUGCACUUCUUAAACCAUGCGAAAUAAAUCAAACGUACAAAAAGAUAUGAGAAACGAAUGAAGAAAUUUUAAACAUAUAACCGCUUCUAACACCUCUUCCUAAUAUUACUUUUUAAGACAUUACACCUCGUAUUUUUUCUCGAACUUUGUUUCACUCGUUUCCCAUAACCAUCGAAACGUACAUUGUAUAUAUUAAACCAUGAUUCAUCAAAAUAUUACGUUAU